GGGAAACUUAGAUGCCUAAGCUAAACCAUAAAGAGAAAGCCUAACAGACUCUUUGCUUCAAGAGUAGGUAAGAAGUGAGCUGGCCAGUCCUAAGAAAUGUGCAGACAGCCAGCCUAUCAACACAUGUUACCCUUCUGCAACCAGCUUUAAAUCAUCUUCAUAUAAAACACCACCAUUUUCCAUUGCUUCAAGUUUCUGCAUUCAGAAAACGAAUCAGAGACUGUUGAAUCCAAGUCCUACUCCACACAAGCCCGUCCACUGCACCGAGCUACAGAAAAAAGAGGCUAUGGCUAGCGAGGCACCAAGCUGGGCUGAUCAAUGGGGUGCAGGGGGCAUUGGUGUCAUAGAGGAAGAAGACAACAAAGCCAAAAAGGAUGGCAAGAGUGACGACAAGAAAGAUUCAAAGGGUGCUGGAUUUGGCAAAGCCAAAGCGGCUGCAGUUGCUGGUGCACAGAAAAUAAAGAAUGGGACUUCCACUGGCAUCAAAUGGUUAAAGAGCCACUGCCAGAAAAACCCCUCUUCCAAAUGAGCUCUCAUUCUUCCCAAUGCAUGAAGCAGACGGGAUGCCCUGCACUUCUUGCCCCUGUUGAAUUUAAAUGAGACCCCUUAUUCACCUGUGCUUCUGGAUGAAUUGUGUAAUUUGCAUCUGUUAAAUUUAACAAUACUCCCAUACGCAUACAGCCAUUUACGAGUC